rnacentral:rRNA from 1 species
UGCCAGCAGCCGCGGUAACACGGGGGGCGCAAGCGUUAUUCGGAAUUAUUGGGCGUAAAGGGUUCGUAGGUUUUUUUCAAAGUUAAACUUCAAAGACCUAGGCUUAACUUAGGUUUAUAGUUUAAUACUUUUAAAAUAGAGUAUAGUAGAGGGUAAUAGAAUUCCUAAUGUAAAGAUAAAAUUUUUCAAUAUUAGGAGGAAUUUCAGAGGCGAAGGCGAUUACCUGGGCUAAUACUGACACUGAGGAACGAAAGCUUAGGUAGCAAACGGGAUUAGAUA